rnacentral:lncRNA from 1 species
AGAGGUAUAGCGAGCAUGGGCCCACUGUGGGCUGGGGAUGGAAAGAUGACAUCUGGUUGUUUUUUCUCUUGCUGUCCAGGGAAGGCACAUCUGAGGGCAAGGUUUUUUAAGUGCAGAAGGUAAAAUCCAUCAAUGUCAGAAACAAAGGAGAGGUCAGAGUAAUGCUCCAUGGAGUGGGGCUUCAAGCUAUUUCUUCCAACCUUAGGAAAUAAAUCUAAAAGCUGAAGAAGGAUGGCAUCCCACCCCCUCUAAACCUAUCACCAAUUAUAAGGCUUUGGUGCUUUGAGAAGCUCCAAGGGAAGCCAAAGAUGUGGAGCAGUGGCUUCUUUCCUGAGCAAUCAUUUAUGUUAUCAGUCAUCCCCUAAAUCCCAGCAAAAACAAGCACCUACGGGGGCAGAAGUAUGCACGAUGCCAACGCUGCGCUCUUGGCAGCAGGACAACUGCAUUGAAGUGCCAGGCAGGAUCCCCCAUUGUAUAAAUCAAUGCGUUUUAUCACAAGCUUGGGCCUUCUAGUAAUAAACUAAACAAGAGCUGCUGCUUUCUUCAUGGAUGUAAUCAGCAAACAGGAAAAUUUAUGGCUCCCUAUCAGCAAUAAAUCAGGAGACCGAAUUUCCUGCUCCUUCUCAGACAGAUACUCUGUUGUACAACAUGAGAGAAAGCCCCCAAAGUGCGGAGGAUAUGAAGGUUUAACACACAGGCAAGUCUGGAUAGCAGCUCAGAACAAGCAGAAGAAAGACAGAUCAGCUUCCAGUGUGAUGGAAAAUAGCAAGCUCUUCAUUAUAUUUAAUGCAUUCGCUAACUGCAUUUCUGUAGUAUGCUAAUGUAUAAAUAGAC